GAUGAACGCUGACAGAAUGCUUAACACAUGCAAGUCUUUGGCGAAGCUGUGCUCGCACAGCCUAGCCAAGGCGGACGGGUGAGUAACGCGUAAGGAACUUGCCCUGCAGUCAGGGAUAACAGACGGAAACGACUGAUAAGACCUGGUAAAGUCAGGCGGACUCAUGUCCAGCCUGAUGAAAAGAGAUGCUGCAGGAGAGCCUUGCGUCCUAUUAGCUUGUUGGUGGGGUAACGGCCCACCAAGGCGAUGAUAGGUAGCCGGCCUGAGAGGGUGGACGGCCACAAGGGGACUGAGAUACGGCCCUUACUCCUACGGGAGGCAGCAGUGGGGAAUAUUGGACAAUGGGGGCAACCCUGAUCCAGCAAUUCUGUGUGCACGAUGAAGGUUUUCGGAUUGUAAAGUGCUUUCAGCAGGGAAGAAAAAAAUGACGGUACCUGCAGAAGAAGCGACGGCUAAAUAC
rnacentral:rRNA from 1 species